AAUAGAUACCCGGGUAGUCCACGCCGUAAACGAUGGAUACUAGCUGUUUGAGCGCAAGUUUGAGUGGCUAAGCGAAAGUGAUAAGUAUCCCACCUGGGGAGUACGGGCGCAAGCCUGAAACUCAAAGGAAUUGACGGGGGCCCGCACAAGCGGUGGAGCAUGUGGUUUAAUUCGAUGAUACGCGAGGAACCUUACCAGGGCUUAAAUGUAGAUUGACGUAUUUGGAAACAGAUAUUUCUUCGGACAAUUUACAAGGUGCUGCAUGGUUGUCGUCAGCUCGUGCCGUGAGGUGUCAGGUUAAGUCCUAUAACGAGCGCAACCCCUGUUGUUAGUUGCCAGCGAGUAAUGUCGGGAACUCUAGCAAGACUGCCAGUGUAAACUGUGAGGAAGGUGGGGAUGACGUCAAAUCAUCACGGCCCUUACGUCCUGGGGCCACACACGUGCUACAAUGGGCCGGUACAGAGAGCAGCCACUUAGCGAUAAGGAGCGAAUCUAUAAAGCCGGUCACAGUUCGGAUCGGAGUCUGCAAC
rnacentral:rRNA from 1 species